AAAAUAAUCAAUUAUUGCUGAUGAGUUUCGGGAUGUAAUACAAUUCACAGAUGUGGUGAUGUGGCACUCAAUUGUUACUGUUCAUGACAAAGUAAUAAUAAAUGUUUUUGUUAAUUAAACUACCAAUAUCUUUUAUGUACACAAUUACACCAAUGACUUGGUGCUUUCGACCAGACAGAUUUAGCCAGCUUUGAUGAUUAUGAAUGUGGGAUUUUUCCACUUAUUGACUUGUCAGUUGAUUUUGAAUGUGGGAUUUUUCCACUUAUUGACUUGUCAGUUGAUUUGGUUGACAGGUAAUUGUUGGUACAUUUCAUAUAGACUCCAAGAAGGAUAUGAGAGGUGAUGGUCAAGGAGAUGCUGCUUCGAAGAAGUUGCCAUUGGCAAUUGGUGGCGCUUCAGCAUCAGAUUUAGGCGUCUGGUCACCUGCUGAUUCUACUCAUCAAACUGUUGGUGGAAGUCAAUUUAUGAUUCAGCAUCAGGGCAUGCAUUUGACGCCUUCGCAAUCGAUGGAAUGGAGAAAUAGCACCAUUCAUGGCAUGCAGCAUUCUUCUGAGAAUGGUGACUAUUAGCACCUUCCAGAUUUGUCAUGUACUUUUCUUAGGACAGGGUCUUGUUGGGAAGGAAAGAUGAAAAGGCGAACAAUCUCCGCAGCAUAUCACCUGAGCUCUCUAGAUAUUGACCAUUUUUCAUCUUGGAAGCUGACAAGUGUUUAUUCUCGACAGGGUAGAACUUUUCUAGCGAAGGAUCUCUCUCCUUGCAAAAUGUGUUUUGGUAGAUUUGGCUGGAUGGGGGUAACAUUUGCUUUUCGGUAAUAGGUUGGUCAAAAAUUUUGCGUUUUGUAUCUAUUGACCUUGGACCCAAAAUAUUUCCAUUCUAUGAGUUAGGUUUGAAUUAACUAGUUUGUCCUCAAUAUCGAGCUUACCCUUAAAAUCUUUAAGGUUUGGCCAACCAAGCCCCUGUAAAGAAAAAAAAGAAGUCUUUAUUUUUUUAAACUUAUUUUUAAUCAUAUAUUCUCUUAUAAAUAAUUUUACCCGUA
rnacentral:lncRNA from 1 species